rnacentral:rRNA from 1 species
UACGUAGGGGGCAAGCGUUGUCCGGAAUCAUUGGGCGUAAAGCGCGUGUAGGCGGUUCGGUAAGUCCGCUGUGAAAGUCCAGGGCUCAACCCUGGGAUGCCGGUGGAUACUGUCGGACUAGAGUACGGAAGAGGCGAGUGGAAUUCCCGGUGUAGCGGUGAAAUGCGCAGAUAUCGGGAGGAACACCAAUUGCGAAGGCAGCUCGCUGGGACGUCACUGACGCUGAGACGCGAAAGCGUGGGGAGCAAACAGGAUUAGAAACCCGGUU